rnacentral:rRNA from 1 species
CCUACGGGUGGCAGCAGUCGAGAAUCAUUCACAAUGGGGGAAACCCUGAUGGUGCGACGCCGCGUGGGGGAAUGAAGGUCUUCGGAUUGUAAACCCCUGUCAUGUGGGAGCAAAUUAAAAAGAUAGUACCACAAGAGGAAGAGACGGCUAACUCUGUGCCAGCAGCCGCGGUAAUACAGGGGUCUCAAGCGUUGUUCGGAAUCACUGGGCGUAAAGCGUGAGUAGGCUGUUUCGUAAGUCGUGUGUGAAAGGCGCGGGCUCAACCCGCGGAGGGCAGAUGAAACUGUGGGACUAGAGUAGGGGAGAGGGACGCGGAAUGCGCGGUGUAGCGGUGAAAGGCGGAGAUAUCGAGCGGAACACCGGUGGAGAAGGGGGGGUACCGGCUCCAAACUGACGCUGAGGCACGAAGGCGAGGGUAUCGAAAGGGAUUAGAUACCCGAGUAGUC